rnacentral:rRNA from 1 species
UGGGGAAUAUUGGACAAUGGGCGCAAGCCUGAUCCAGCCAUGCCGCGUGAGUGACGAAGGCCUUAGGGUUGUAAAGCUCUUUUGGCGGGGAAGAUAAUGACGGUACCCGCAGAAUAAGCUCCGGCUAACUUCGUGCCAGCAGCCGCGGUAAUACGAAGGGAGCUAGCGUUGUUCGGAAUCACUGGGCGUAAAGCGCACGUAGGCGGAUUGUUAAGUCAGAGGUGAAAUCCCGGAGCUCAACUUCGGAACUGCCUUUGAUACUGGCAAUCUAGAGUCCGGAAGAGGUUAGUGGAAUUCCCAGUGUAGAGGUGAAAUUCGUAGAUAUUGGGAAGAACACCAGUGGCGAAGGCGGCUAACUGGUCCGGUACUGACGCUGAGGUGCGAAAGCGUGGGGAGCAAACAGGAUUAGAUACCCAUGUAGUCCCUGAGCGGGCUGGCAAGGCGCAU